rnacentral:rRNA from 1 species
AAUUUUGGACAAUGGGCGCAAGCCUGAUGCGGCAACGCCGCGAGCGCGACGAAGGCCUUCGGGUCGUAAAGCGCUUUCCGGGGAGAUGAGCACGGACAGUAUCCCCGGAAGAAGGAUCGGCUCACUACAUGCCAGCAGCCGCGGUAAAAUGUAGGAUCCGAGCGUUAUCCGAAUUCACUGGGCGUAAAGCGCAUGCAGGCGGCCGCACAAGUUGGAUGUGAAAUCUCCCGGCUCAACUGGGAGGGGACGUUCAAAACUGUGCGGCUCGAGGGCGGUAGAGGAAGGUAGAAUUCCCGGUGUAGUGGUGAAAUGCGUAGAUAUCGGGAGGAAUACCCGUGGCGAAGGCGACCUUCUGGACCGUUUCUGACGCUCAGAUGCGAAAGCUAGGGGAGCGAACGGG